CCAAAUGAUGAGGUAAUUUGCGAUUGACCCUGCGUCUGGAGACCCUCGCCGGGGUCUCAUAACAGCGCAGGUGGUUGAUAUUCACUUCUUACAUAUUCUGAAC
rnacentral:snoRNA from 1 species